rnacentral:tRNA from 1 species
GGCGAUGUAGCUCAGGCGGUUAGAGUAUACGGCUCAUACCCGUAGUGUCGCAGGUUCGAGUCCUGCCAUCGCUACCA